UAUCUUCUCACGGAGGUAGUGUUUCAAGACUGCUCUGCGGACACUACCCUCUGGAUGUAUUUCGACUUCCUGGCGGACUGGGAUGCGGGGUACAGCUAGGGGGUCGCCGGCCUCGCCUACCUAUACCGUUCGCUUGACGAUGCAACCCGGAGGACGGAAGCUACGUCCGGUAUGUGUGGAUGUGUGUGGGGCCUCUCCAUUUGGAUGUGGGAGCGAAUCCCGGUGGGUCGUCUGGAGAAGCUUAGAGCGCAUGCAUGGACUGAAUAUGGCGAAGAUGGCGACGAUGCUCGAUACCCGACCGUCGCAUACGCUUGGGACGUGGUGGGUACAAUCUCGGGUGAAUCCAAGACCUUGUACAAGAUCUUCAUCAACGAGCUUGAUGCUCUGACGCCUCUCCAGGUUAACUGGCGGCCGUAUACUGACGACCGAGAGUGGGAGUUCGAGCUGAACGUGAUGUGCAAGCAGGACCGACUUCUCUGGCGGUGCAUCGUGCCCAUGAUUU